rnacentral:misc_RNA from 1 species
UCUUGAUGCAAUCAAACAGAUUCAGGUAAUUUCGUUUAGGUUCCCGUCCAGGAGACAUUAAAUCUUUAGUUGGCAGUUGCCAGAACAGUAAUUUAUCACAGUAGCUAUUCCCAUACAUGAUCAAACUAUUAAGAUAUCAGCUCCUGGCACGUUCAUGUUGCUUUGUAAAUAAGCUAUCCAGUACAUAGAAACAUGUACACAGAACAAGUUCCUGGAUUAUCUCAUAGUUGCUGGGAGUACUGGAUGCAUUUCAGGCUUUCUUCAUAUGAAAUAUCAAACAUCGAGAAAUUAUCUCAAUUCUACAAAUUCUUAUCACAAGCGUAUCGUUUAACCGAAGCUGAAAGCAUCUAGAAUUGUCUCUGCCACCCAAGUAGGUUAUUACCUGAGGCCAUUGCUGAAACCCAAAUGAUUUUGUUUUGCCUGCAUGAGCCAUGAGCGAGGCAUGUGUUGCCCAAUAAGAUAGUCAUUUUG